UCCCACCACCAUGCCACCCUGAACACACCUGAUCAUGUCUGAUCUCAGAAGCUAAGCAGGGUCAGGCUUGGUUAGUACUUGGAUGGGAGAUCACCUAGGAAUACCAGGUGCUGUAAGCA
rnacentral:rRNA from 1 species